rnacentral:lncRNA from 1 species
UUCUUUUUCUCACUUUCUCUGUCUCUUUUCUUCUCUCUGUGUCUUUCUCUGUCUCUUUUCUUUCUUUCUCUGUCUCUUUUCCUCUCUCUUUUCUCUGUCUCUUUUCUUUCUUGCUUUCUCUGACUCUUUUCUUCUCUCUGUCUCUUUUCUUUCUUUCUGUCUUUUUUCCUCCCUCUUUCUCUGUCUCUUUUCUUUCUUGCUUUCUCUGUCUCUUUUCUUCUCUCUGUCUUUCUGUCUCUUUUCUUUCUCACUUUCUCUGUCUCUUUUCUUCUCUUUGUGUCUUUCUGUGUCUCCAUAGCUCUCCACAGAUAGAUAGAUAGAAAGAUCGAUACUACACAGUUGGAUAGACAGACAGGUAGAAGACAGAUAGAUAGAAGCCAUCAGCACCCACCCCGUCCUGACGCUGUCGAGGAUGAGCCCCUCCAGACUCUACCGAAAGCACCGCCCAGAACUCUUGGAAGAAAUUCACUUCCCGUGGUUCCGGAGGCUGGAAGUCCAGGAUUGAGGCAUCUGCAGAUAUGGCGUCUGGCAACACCUCCUGUCCAGCAGGUCCCCCAGGAUGGCAUAAGACGCUGGGUUUCUAUAAAAGCUGUGCUGUGGCUGGGUGGAGGAGCGGAGUCGGGCUCUGUGGCCUCAGAGGCCGCUUGCAAGAGUUCAGAUAAACCGAGGCCCCUUUCAGCGCGUCCGUCUGCUCUGAUCGGCUCCACUGAAUAAGACGAUUUGAGGAUGUGCAGGCCCGGCCGCGCAGCUCCCUGUUUAUUUUACCACUUGAUGGCUAGAAAGCCCUGACCUUUCCCGGCUACCUUUCCGCCACCACCUCCCCCAGCCCCAGCCCUGUUCCUCUCCUGCUUUUUGUCUCUUUUGCAGCUUUACUACAUUCAACUGUGCAAAUAGUAAAAUCCCAAAAAGGUAGGCAGAAGGGCUGUUUGAGAUCAUUAGCUUAAUUUGAGCUGAAAGGUCUUUGUUGUAAGUUGGGGAGGGGAAGGACCCGGGGACCUUAGCUGAGUGUUCUGCUGGCAAGCUUGUUGAGAUAUGAUUGCCUUUGUUGUGAUAAUCUGAAAUUAAUUUGCACUUGAACCCAUCUUUCUUCUGGGCUCAAUUUAAACACUGUUAUAAUUAUGCGCCCUGCAUGAAAUUGAGAACAGACCCUGAUAUGACAAAGCUGAAUGUUUUAAUUCCCCAGGUACAGACGGCUUUUUUCCUCACUUAUCUCACAAGGUAAUAAAACAAAAUGCUGCAGUGCUCAUGCUUAAGAGAGAGGUAUUUGCCUGAGGGGAAACAGAGAUAAUCACUGUAUCGCUCCACAUUUCACUCUGUACUUUCGCAGUGGGUCAAUCGCUUUCUUUUAAAGUGAUGUUAAACUUCUGCUAAUAUUAGUUGAUUUGUACCUGGAACGCUAUUUUAAAAAAAAAAUGAAAAUGGUAUGUUUUAUUCUAUUUCAGCCGCUCCUCAUCUAAGAGGCUUUGUCUCUAACAUCCAUUUCCUCAGAUUUUUUUAAACACUAUUAAAGGCUGCCUCCUAAUAUGCACAAUUGAUCUUAGCGGAGCACCGUUCUUGUUCUCAGUGUGAGCUGUAAUAUCCUUAUCAGCAUUCUUUUAGUUUUAACCCAGAUUAGUGUUUUUGGUGAGGAAUCUCAUUAACUCCGGCAAGCCUAUCUUCUUUUGUGAUUGCCUUCGGAAUUGUAUUGUACUAAAAGGCCAACGGGGCCUUUCCCCCAGGCACAAAUUCUUCUUUAAAUCAGCCUUCAGCUUAGAGAAACUACACACUCCUCAGAAAGAGACGUUCUGAAGGGUCGGGAUGAACUGUGCGGGUUCCCCUCACUGGAAGACACGGCUAAGACCGGCUGGCAGUUUGGGAAUCUGGGGGAGGAGACCCAGGAGUCCUGCGGGCUCCCCGGCUCCCCGCUCCUGGCCCCUUCCUGUUUCCCUUACUAUCUUGCGCAAACACCUCAGCUGCCGCCUCGGAAAAACAGCCUUAAACGAUCAUGGUCGUGUCGUAUUGUGUUAAAAGCAAGUGUCAUUUCACAGUCACACAAGCAAGAAAGCCAUCUCCCCAAACAGAGCCCAGGGCAGAAGACGGACAGAGAAGGAGGGGUUAAAAGGAGACACCUGCCAGCUAAGGAAGGCGGCCCAGUGCCC